UACGGGGGGGGCAAGCGUUGUUCGGAAUUACUGGGUGUAAAGGGCUCGUAGGCGGCCAACUAAGUCGGAUGUGAAAUCCCCAAGCUUAACUUGGGAACUGCAUCCGAUACUGGAUGGCUUGAAUCCGGGAGAGGGAUGCAGAAUUCCAGGUGUAGCGGUGAAAUGCGUAGAUAUCUGGAGGAAUACCGGUGGCGAAGGCGGCAUCCUGGACCGGCAUUGACGCUGAGGCGCGAAAGCGUGGGGAGCGAACAGG
rnacentral:rRNA from 1 species